rnacentral:rRNA from 1 species
CAGGCCUAACACAUGCAAGUCGAGGGGUAACAGAGAGUGCUUGCACUUUGCUGACGACCGGCGCACGGGUGCGUAACGCGUAUACAAUCUGCCUCUUACUGAGGGAUAGCCCAGAGAAAUUUGGAUUAAUACCUCAUAGUAUGUUAGAGUGGCAUCACUUUAAUAUUAAAGGUUACGGUAAGAGAUGAGUAUGCGUUCUAUUAGCUAGUAGGUAUGGUAACGGCAUACCUAGGCAACGAUAGAUAGGGGCCCUGAGAGGGGGAUCCCCCACACUGGUACUGAGACACGGACCAGACUCCUACGGGAGGCAGCAGUGAGGAAUAUUGGUCAAUGGGCGCAAGCCUGAACCAGCCAUGCCGCGUGCAGGAAGACUGCCCUAUGGGUUGUAAACUGCUUUUAUACAGGAAGAAACACUCGGACGUGUCCGAGCUUGACGGUACUGUAAGAAUAAGGAUCGGCUAACUCCGUGCCAGCAGCCGCGGUAAUACGGAGGAUCCAAGCGUUAUCCGGAAUCAUUGGGUUUAAAGGGUCCGUAGGUGGAUUAGUAAGUCAGAGGUGAAAGCCUGCAGCUCAACUGUAGAACUGCCUUUGAUACUGCUAGUCUUGAGUCAUUAUGAAGUGGUUAGAAUGUGUAGUGUAGCGGUGAAAUGCAUAGAUAUUACACAGAAUACCGAUUGCGAAGGCAGAUCACUAAUAAUGUACUGACACUGAUGGACGAAAGCGUGGGGA